AGAAUUAUAUAGCAUGUGAAAAUAUCUACCCUUGUGUAGCAAUCAACACACACGCAGGAGUGCAACUGUCUCCUAAGAGUAUAAUAAUUGAAAAUAUGUCUUUUUAAUUUUUAAAUAUCACGAACCCUUGGCUAUAAAUUUGGAAAAGGAUACAGAAGAAUACAUUUCAAAUACUUUGGAAAUUCUCACAAAAACUGAAUAAAACUACAUUGCAUAAUAAAGACUGGAAUAGGGAUAGAAAGAGAAAUUAAAAAAAAAAAAGAUAGAGAGAGAGAAAUAGCCAUAUACAUGGCAUAAAUUAUUUAUUAAGCCAUACCAUAUUUUGAAGAGUAGUAGACACAGAACCACAUAUAGCAAUGGAGAUUAUGCAGAAGAAAAUGCCUCCAUGCACAAAUACACUGAUAAUAAAGAUAAAUCCUGCAGAGAAAAAUGAGACAAAUAUUUUUACUCAAUUAUAUUAACAAGCAUAUGGAGGAACACUGGGAAGGAAAACUGCACAAGUAGUAGAAGUAAGGAGGAAGCUGACUUUUCAUAGAUAUACUUGAUUAUAAGUAUUGGAGAACUGGAUCAAUUGAAGAGAAGAUUUUACGGCUGACUAUAAACUCCUAACUCACUAUUCACACACACAGAGUAGUAACUGUGUGUGUGUGCGUGCAUGCGUGUAUCUGUGUGUGCAUGCCAGUGCAUGUGUGUGUGUGUGUAUGUAUGUGUGAUAGAAAUAAUGUUGGCUUGCCCACUUCCUUGCUUGCUUGAGCCAUGUUCUGCUUUCACUCACUUCAAAGUCAAAGCAGCACUACAGUCGAGGUGCAAGUGUAUCAACGUGUUGUGUAGUAGCAGCGCUAUAUUAGAAUAGCUCCAAUCAUACAUGGCAGAUACCAAAUAUUUAAUCAUGCCUACUCUAAAAGAGGAACUGCUGUUUGCUAAAAACAGCAGUCAUAUAAUGGGCAUGGAGGAAACCAUCAUACAGACAAUGUACAAGUACCUAAAUCCUAUAUUCCUGCUGUGUGGCACGAUUGGAAAUAUUAUGUCGUUAGUGAUGAUGCAUAAAAUGAGUGCUCGAGUCUGGUCUAGCUGUAUUUACCUCAGUGUUUUGGCUAUCGUCGAUCUACUUAUUCUCUAUCUGGACUGUGGAAACAGGUGGUACAAACAGCUCACUAACAUUGAUCUCAACAUAGUUAUUAUGACAAGCACAGAUGCAAUGUGCCAGGUUUAUCUAUUUUUCUACAAUUUUAUUUUCCAUUUUUCCGCCUGGCUCGUGGUCGCUAUCACAGGAGAAUGUUUAAUCUCUAUAAAGUCUCCAAUUUUUAAAUACAAAUCAUGCACCAGGGAACAUGCACGUGCUAUCAUUCUAUUUAUAACAGUCAUGCUGAUUGGAAUUAACAUUCAUUACUUCUGGACCCAUGCACUUGUCAGUAAACAAGGCUCCAGCAUCUUACAGAGGAAAGUAUGCAUCAAUAUGGAUGAACUUUCAGAUGUCUUCAAAGAUCAGAUAUGGCACUACCUUGACAUCUUCAUAAAAGAUGUUAUUCCACUCUUGGUAAUAUGUCUGCUAGUAACCAUGAUUGCUAUGAUUCUGCAUGCAAACAUAAGCAGUGCAAAAGGUAUGGAACCAGUGUUAAAGAAGUACUAUAUGGAUAUUGAAUCUUUUCAUGAAAUGUGCUAUAUUGUUAUAGUCAUAGCUAUUAUUUACAUUGUAUGUACACUCCCUAAAGUAGGCCUGACAGUAAUUCAUCAUUGUGUUGUUUACGGACUCCUGCCAUAUACACAAAAUCUUGGUGCUAAACUUAAACUAGCUGACGCAAUUUGUCAAAUGUUCCAGUAUGGAUAUCACAGCUUAAAACUAUUCAUAUACAUUUAUUUCUGUAAACGUAUCAACAUCUGGACAAAGAAAUCUACAAAAGUUUUCCUCACUCAAACAUGCAGUGGUAACAAGGUCUCCAGAUCCAGUACAUUUUAUUCGCAACAAAGCAUGGAGAGACCUCUCAGUGAGCAACACUACUUUCAAGAAAGUAAGCCCAUUCAAGUUCCUGAUUCAAGUUUUUUUAAAGAAAAGCAAAAGGUCACUUUCUCAAAGCCGAGAGUAUUUACACAAACACAAGUUUGAAUUUAUAUUCAUACUCUCACACACACAUGUAUGCAUACACACACACACACACACACACACACACACACACACACACACUCUGAAGCACUCUGUC
rnacentral:misc_RNA from 1 species